UACGUAGGGUGCAAGCGUUGUCCGGAAUUAUUGGGCGUAAAGAGCUCGUAGGCGGUCUGUCGCGUCGGCUGUGAAAACCCGGGGCUCAACCCCGGGCCUGCAGUCGAUACGGGCAGACUAGAGUGCGGUAGGGGAGACUGGAAUUCCUGGUGUAGCGGUGAAAUGCGUAGAUAUCAGGAGGAACACCGGUGGCGAAGGCGGCUACCUGGCCUAAGACUGACGCUGAGGUGCGAAAGCGUGGGGAGCGAACGGG
rnacentral:rRNA from 1 species